rnacentral:rRNA from 1 species
UACGGAGGUGGCAAGCGUUGCUCGGAAUCACUGGGCGUAAAGGGCGCGUAGGCGGGGAGGUAAGUCGGGUGUGAAAUCCCUUGGCCCAACCGAGGAACUGCGCCGGAGACUGCUUCUCUUGAGUCCCGGAGAGGAAGGUGGAAUUCCCGGUGUAGCGGUGAAAUGUGUAGAGAUCGGGAGGAACACCGGUGGCGAAGGCGGCCUUCUGGACGGUGACUGACGCUGAGGCGCGAAAGCGUGGGGAGCAAACGGG